rnacentral:rRNA from 1 species
UACGUAGGGGGCAAGCGUUGUCCGGAUUUAUUGGGCGUAAAGAGCGUGUAGGCGGCCAGACAAGUCUGCUGUGAAAACUCGAGGCUCAACCUCGAGCUGUCGGUGGAAACUGUCUGGCUAGAGUCCGGAAGAGGAGAGUGGAAUUCCUGGUUUAGCGGUGAAAUGCGCAGAUAUCAGGAAGAACACCUAUGGCGAAGGCAGCUCUCUGGGACGGUACUGACGCUGAGACGCGAAAGCGUGGGGAGCGAACAGG